CAGUCGCCACGGUAAAACGUAGGGUGCAAGCGUUAAUCGGAAUUACUGGGCGUAAGGCGUGCGCAGGCGGUUAUAUAAGUCAGAUGUGAAAUCCCCGGGCUCAACCUGGGAACUGCAUUUGAGACUGUAUGGCUAGAGUGUGUCAGAGGGGGGUAGAAUUCCACGUGUAGCAGUGAAAUGCGUAGAUAUGUGGAGGAGUACCGAUGGCGAAGGCAGCCCCCUGGGAUAACACUGACGCUCAUGCACGAAAGCGUGGGGAGCAAACAGGAUUAGAUACCCCAGUAGUCCCUGUCUCUUAUAC
rnacentral:rRNA from 1 species